CGGGGUGAGUAACGCGUGGGGAACCUGCCUCAUACAGGGGAAUAACAGAUGGAAACGUCUGCUAAUGCCGCAUAAGCGCACACUGUGGCAUCACAGAGUGUGAAAAACUCCGGUGGUAUGAGAUGGCCCCGCGUCUGAUUAGGCAGUUGGCGGGGUAACGGCCCACCAAACCGACGAUCAGUAGCCGACCUGAGAGGGUGACCGGCCACAUUGGGACUGAGACACGGCCCAAACUCCUACGGAAGGCAGCAG
rnacentral:rRNA from 1 species